CACAACGCAUCCCACGACCCAAUGAAAAAAAAAAGGAAAACUUAAAGUUAAAAAUUCGUUGAGCUGAGCCGGCCUUAGGCAUAGGAAACUCAGGCAGCCGUCUAGAGCCUCAGAUUGAUUGGAGACUCGCACAUGAUUCAAGUUUUUUAGAGACGAAAUAGCGAAACGUGUCCCUUGUUUUAGUCUUGGAGUGCACUAGGCUAUUAGUGUUGGAGUGCACUAGGUUUUUAGUGUUGGAGUGCACUAGGUUUUUAGUGUUGGAGUUCACUAGGUUUUUAGUGUUGGAGUGCACUAGGUUUUUAGUGUUGGAGUGCACUAGGUUUUUAGUGUUGGAGUCCACUAGACUGUUAGGGUGCACUAGGUUUUUAGUGUUGGAGUGCACUAGGUUUUUAGUGUUGGAGUGCACUAGGUUUUUAGUGUUGGAGUGCACUAGGUUUUUAGUGUUGGAGUGCACUAGGUUUUUUGUGUUGGAGUGCACUAGGUUUUUAGUGUUGGAGUGCACUAGAGUGUUGGAGUGCACUAGGUUUUUAGUGUUGGAGUGCACUAGGUUUUAGUGUUGGAGUUCUCUAGGUUUUUAGUGUUGGAGUGCACUAGGUUUUCAGUGUUGAAGUGCUCUAGGUUUUUAGUGUUGGGGUGCACUAGGUUUUUAGUGUUGGAGUGCACUAGGUUUUUAGUGUUGGAGUGCUCUAUGUUUUAGUGUUGGAGUGCUCUAGGUUUUUAGUGUUGGAGUGCACUAUGUUUUUAGUGUUGAAGUGCACUAGGUUUUUAGUGUUGGAGUUCUCUAGGUUUUUAGUGUUGGAGUGCACUAGGUUUUAAGUGUUGGAGUGCACUAGGUUUUUAGUGUUGGAGUGCUCUAUGUUUUUAGUGUUGGAGUGCACUAGGUUUUUAGUGUUGAAGUGCUUUAGGUUUUUAGUGUUGGAGUGCACUAGAUUUUUAGUGUUGGAGUGCACUAGAGUGUUGGAGUGCACUAGAGUGUUGGAGUGCACUAGGUUUUAAGUGUUGGAGUGCACUAGGUUUUUAGUGUUGGAGUUCUCUAGGUUUUUAGUGUUGGAGUGCACUAGGUUUUAAGUGUUGGAGUGCACUAGGUUUUUAGUGUUGGAGUGCUCUAUGUUUUUAGUGUUGGAGUGCACUAGGUUUUUAGUGUUGAAGUGCUUUAGGUUUUUAGUGUUGGAGUGC